rnacentral:rRNA from 1 species
UACGUAGGGGGCAAGCGUUGUCCGGAAUCAUUGGGCGUAAAGAGCGUGUAGGCGGCCAGAUAAGUCCGCUGUGAAAACUCGAGGCUCAACUUCGAGCUGUCGGCGGAAACUAUCUGGCUAGAGUCCGGAAGAGGAGAGUGGAAUUCCUGGUGUAGCGGUGAAAUGCGCAGAUAUCAGGAAGAACACCGGUGGCGAAGGCGGCUCUCUGGACCGAGACUGACGCUGAGGCGCGAAAGCGUGGGGAGCAAACAGG